UGAAGCUGGAUUCGCUAGUAAUCGCGCAUCAGCCACGGCGCGGUGAAUACGUUCCCGGGCCUUGUACACACCGCCCGUCACACCAUGAGAGUUUGUAACACCCAAAGCCGGUGGGGUAACCUUUUGGAGCCAGCCGUCUAAGGUGGGACAGAUGAUUGGGGUGAAGUCGUAACAAGGUACC
rnacentral:rRNA from 1 species